AACCGACACAGGUGGUCAGGUAGAGAAUACCAAGGCGCUUGAGAGAACUCGGGUGAAGGAACUAGGCAAAAUGGUGCCGUAACUUCGGGAGAAGGCACGCUGACACGUAGGUGAAGUGAUUUACUCAUGGAGCUGAAGUCAGUCGAAGAUACCAGCUGGCUGCAACUGUUUAUUAAAAACACAGCACUGUGCAAACACGAAAGUGGACGUAUACGGUGUGCCGCCUGCCCGGU
rnacentral:rRNA from 1 species